UUGGCUCAGAACGAACGCUGGCGGCAGGCCUAACACAUGCAAGUCGGACGGUAACAGGAAGCAGCUUGCUGCUUCGCUGACGAGUGGCGGACGGGUGAGUAAUGUCUGGGAAACUGCCUGAUGGAGGGGGAUAACUACUGGAAACGGUAGCUAAUACCGCAUAACGUCUUCGGACCAAAGAGGGGGACCUUCGGGCCUCUUGCCAUCAGAUGUGCCCAGAUGGGAUUAGCUUGUUGGUGGGGUAACGGCUCACCAAGGCGACGAUCCCUAGCUGGUCUGAGAGGAUGACCAGCCACACUGGAA
rnacentral:rRNA from 1 species